rnacentral:rRNA from 1 species
UACGUAGGGAGCAAGCGUUGUCCGGAAUUACUGGGUGUAAAGGGAGCGUAGGCGGGAUAGUAAGUUGAUUGUUAAAACUAUUGGCUCAACUGAUAGAUGCGAUCAAAACUGCAAUUCUUGAGUGAAGUAGAGGCAGGCGGAAUUCCUAGUGUAGCGGUGAAAUGCGUAGAUAUUAGGAGGAACACCAGUGGCGAAGGCGGCCUGCUGGGCUUUAACUGACGCUGAGGCUCGAAAGUGUGGGUAGCAAA